rnacentral:tRNA from 1 species
GGAGGUGUGCCAGAGUGGUUGAAUGGGGCGCUCUCGAAAAGCGUUAUGCCCGAAAGGGUAUCGGAGGUUCGAAUCCUCCCACCUCCG